rnacentral:sRNA from 1 species
AAUUCGCUCCAGACCCUAAACUGAUGUCCUGCUAAGUUGAGAGGUAAACGUUUGCCUUCUCUCACCCUGAUUCGCAAAUUGCUUUGCGGUACGCCGGGAAAACGACACAGGACGUCAGGAGGGGGUCAAUGGCCGGUACGCUAAUAAAUUUAGCGUGGAAUUUUGUCUGAUCUUGAGGAAAAGGGGAAGAGCAAAUACGCAUAUCACCUUAAAUCCAGCAAGAUUUUUAGGGCCACCUGUGCAAAAAUGAGCAGGCUCACUUUUUGUGUGGGGACGAUAAGGAGAAAAAUUGAUGAACACCGAUCUUAAGUUUUCGCUAUGCACCACCAUCAUUGUCCUGGCGCUGAUUGUCGCCGCAGGUCUGACGGCCGCACUGCACUGAUUU